rnacentral:rRNA from 1 species
GACGAACGCUGGCGGCGUGCUUAACACAUGCAAGUCGAACGGAAAGGCCCUGCUUGCAGGGUACUCGCGUGGCGAACGGGUGAGUAACACGUGGGUGAUCUGCCCUGCACUUCGGGAUAAGCCUGGGAAACUGGGUCUAAUACCGGAUAGGAGCCAUUUUUAGUGUGAUGGUUGGAAAGUUUUUUCGGUGUAGGAUGAGCUCGCGGCCUAUCAGCUUGUUGGUGGGGUAAUGGCCUACCAAGGCGGCGACGGGUAGCCGGCCUGAGAGGGUGGACGGCCACAUUGGGACUGAGAGGCGGCCCAGACUCCUACGGGAGGCAGCAGUGGGGAAUAUUGCACAAUGGGCGCCAGCCUGAUGCAGCGACGCCGCGUGGGGGAUGACGGCCUUCGGGUUGUAAACUCCUUUCGCUAGGGACGAAGCUUUUUGUGACGGUACCUAGAUAAGAAGCACCGGCUAACUACGUG